AGAGAGAGAGAGAGAGAGAUUGAUUUAGAGGAAAUAUUUCAACUUUAACUGUAUCCAACUAUACCAAGUCAAAUAGGAGGAGAACGUGAGUUUGGUAGUAGUGCCAUAUGUUAAAAUGGCCUAAAUUUGGGUGGCUCUUAUUUUACUUUGCUUUUCCACAACUAAUGAGACUUGGUUAAAAUUUUUAUUUUGAAUUUUUGGGGCAAUCCUCAAAAUCCAGCCAUUGUGAGCUCAAUUACAUGGUUUGGUUCAAAUGCAUAAUUUGGUUCUUAUCUAUGAAAAGGGAAAAUUGGUAUGAACAUGAUCAAUAACAUGAAUGAAUGAGACAUGGCUGCAUAUAGGUGCGGCUCAAAUCUCACCGGAAAACCCGUCCUGAUGCCAUAAGCUUGUAAACCCAUCAUCUACACCUAGUUGUACAUGGAUUAAAAGGAAAUUUGAUUUUGAGCACCCAAAGUUAUCCAUGUCGCAGCACUUUUUUUCUUUUUUUUUCUUUUAGUCUUCAUAAAUAUGCUAGGUUUGUGUUAUUUUUGGAGCUCUAAGUUCCAUAAGCAUGGACGAAAAUCGAUUUUCAGGUCAUAAUGCAAAUUUCUAGUAUCGG
rnacentral:lncRNA from 1 species